AUUGAACGCUGGCGGCAGGCCUAACACAUGCAAGUCGAGCGGACGAUGGGAGCUUGCUCCUGGAUUCAGCGGCGGACGGGUGAGUAAUGCCUAGGAAUCUGCCUGGUAGUGGGGGACAACGUUUCGAAAGGAACGCUAAUACCGCAUACGUCCUACGGGAGAAAGCAGGGGACCUUCGGGCCUUGCGCUAUCAGAUGAGCCUAGGUCGGAUUAGCUUGUUGGUGAGGUAAUGGCUCACCAAGGCGACGAUCCGUAACUGGUCUGAGAGGAUGAUCAGUCACACUGGAACUGAGACACGGUCCAGACUCCUACGGGAGGCAGCAGUGGGGAAUAUUGGACAAUGGGCGAAAGCCUGAUCCAGCCAUGCCGCGUGUGUGAAGAAGGUCUUCGGAUUGUAAAGCACUUUAAGUUGGGAGGAAGGGUUGUAGAUUAAUACUCUGCAAUUUUGACGUUACCGACAGAGUAAGCACCGGCUAACUCUGUGCCAGCCGCCGCAGUAAGAC
rnacentral:rRNA from 1 species